UUCUCUCUCACAACUCCAGAUGUCUCACAAAACUCCAGAUCUUCUCUCUCUCACUCUCUCUCCUUCUCUCGCUCUACGACUCAAGAACAUCAUGCCAGAUCUCUCAUCAGAUGCCGUUUCAUGACAAGAUCGUUGAAGGUCUGCAACCUUUGUUCUAGGAAUCUUGAAAAUCUUUGUUAUUACAAUUUUCUGUAAUCAUUGUGACCACUACCGGUUGUAAUGUAGUGGUUCCGACACCUGAGCUCUGGUGGAGGAGACUAGGGUUUCGGCGAAGAUAAAGCCAUCGGAGGCUAAACAACUCAAAAAGGCUGCUUAAUUUGGUUUUUUGUCACCUGAAACCCUAAUUCAUUCAUUGGAGGAAACUGCAGGUGUUGUGUCUGAAGGUGGUAGGGGCCUGAGCAUUUGGGAUGUUUUCUGCCUCACAAAUCCAGGUUUGUCUUCUUCACCAUGAGCACAUACAGUAAGGUGUGUUAAAUAGGUAGUGUUUGCCGGUUGACGGCUCCAACCCGACACUAACCUGAAUACGACAAACCUUGGUUUAAAACCUUGGUUUAAAAAGCGGGAAGAACACAAAAGCAAUGAGGUCUAAAAUUAUUUAUUGGAUUAUUUUGAAUUUAAUGUUAGGUGACUGAUGCGAUUGAGAUGUUGGUCCGUAUGUUACAUAGAGUUUAAGUAGAGGAUCAGAUCCACCAUCCAAUGUGCCUAAAAAAGCUUCUAAAGUGAUAAAUCCUAGAUGAAGCUUCGAGGAAAGAAUAUCUGGUCAAUAAAGCUCUUUCUCAGAUUUUAUAGUUGUUUUUAGAGAGCUUGAAAAUAAAUGUGUUUUGUUUUCAUAUAGGAAAGAAAAUACCUGAAUCAAAGAAUUGUUUGAAAAUAUUGAAAAGUUGGGGUAAAGUUUGAUUCAAUUGAAAGGCUGAAUCUUGGAAUGGAGAAUCCUGAUGGGAAUUUGUAAACUUUGAAGUUAUUUUAACAAAAAAAACCUUUUUUAAACCAACCCGACCCGAAACCCACUCCGGCCCGAACCCAUUCUGACCUGAACCCAUCCCGACCCUAACCCAUUCCGACCCGCCACCCAAUCCGACCCGAAUCAAAGAUUCGCUACCUUUUUUGGAUGAUUCCAUGUCGGAUCUGUGUAAUACUUUCAGAAUGUUGAAUUUGAUUUAUGUGAAGGUGUUUUGUUGUUCGUUGUUUCUUCGAAUCUCCAUUUGUUGUUUUAUUUUUCUUCGAAGCUCCAUGUGCGGAUGUUAAGUUGACUGAACAAAAUAACGACUCAACGGUAAGAUUAUUGAGCAGAUCGGUUGCAACUGAGACGAGAUCCUUUAGCAGUACAUGGCUGUCAAGGUUGGUUCCGACAACUCGAUUCCGAUUUAGCGGCCGCAUGUAUAUUUUUCCAGAACAAAGGUACUUUUCGUUUUCUUAAUGUAACUGUAUUACACGUGGUGGUGUACUUGCAGCAGUGGUCUGCAAUCAAGGUCAUUGCACCCUAUGUGGUUAUCCAAUGGAAACCUUAUUGAGAAAGGAGACCUAGAGGUGAAAAUCUUUUGUGUAUGGUUGCUGCUAUGAAGAAAAUGAAAGAUCUUGGAAAUGUUUGCAUGGAACAAGCAGCAGAGAUUGAGAAGUUAAAUAAUCUGGGAACAGAUAUUUGAGAGGGUGACAAAGAACCUAAAAGUGGCCCGAGUGUUUACAACUUUGGUGGAGGAGAUGAAGGCGUCAAGGCGUCAAGGUGACAUGGGGGCUGGAAAGAGCACAGCUCUAAAGGACAUUCUUCAAGAGUAAGUCGUUAAGUAUAUUAUACAAAUGACUCCCUCGAGGUAAGUUGAACGGGUUAGAUAAUAGGUCAAAACAGAUAUAUAUAAAAAAUAACGAGUAGGAUAUGCUUAAAAAAACAAUAUUAAUAUUUUAUUAAUCCAAAUCUUUGAAUUAAACAACUUAAAGGUUUUUCACAUAAAAAAUAGAAUUGAGCUACUUUCAAUGUGUUUAAUACUUUCAACCCAUUUGACCCACAUGCAAGGCGGUUUCAGUUUAGAAAAUAAUAAGAAUUAUGGCGUUAAAAUAUUGAUUUUUGUUAGAUUUUAAAAGUGUAAGGUUACAUUUGUUACAAAUAAAAGGUUUUUAAGAGUUAUAAUGUGGCUUUGAAUGUACACAGACCAGUUUGGGCAGGAGCAUCAGCAAAUGCAGUUGUAAUAGAAGCUUGGGUUUGGCCUAAACGGGUUUGGGCAGGAGCAUCAGCAUCAGCAAAUGCAGUUUUAUCUCAAAACUAUACGUCUAUAUAACAUUCUUCUUUUCUUUUGAGACCGAAACACAAUUAAUAAUUUUUCUUUCUAUUUUAAACGACAGAUGCAGACAUGGGAAUUAUCUAAUAUCAAACACCUGCUUGAGUUUCUCAGAUUAUAAAAAAACAAAUACCAAAUAGAUAACAGACAUCACUAUAUAUUUCUGGUUGAUUGCUUUUAACCACAAUACCUACUAUUAAUCCAAUUGUUUUGACCCAAAUAGUCAGAAUAUCAAAUUCGGAAAGUUUUUCCCAAUAAGAUACAUUGAAUUUUGACUUAUUGACGCAAUAAUCACUUUAGGCCAGUAGCCAAACAACCCCUAAUAAGGGUAGCUGGAUACAGUGUGUAUCAACCUUUAAAUAGUUGAAUUUGCUGCCAUAUGAUAUGUAGAUAUAUUCAUUUUUCAUUUAAAUAGUUGAAUUUGCUGCAAUAUGAUAUGCUGAUAUAUUCAUUUUUCAUUAGAAAGGGAAGAUCAUGAGUGUUGCCAUAGUUCCAUGUGUUAUCACAGUUGGAUGUAUGUAUCCACGCAUUCUUCGCUGAUCUUCGUGAUCCAAAUACUCGCCUACUAGGUGGACGAUCUUUGCCACCACUCUUUAAUUUCAAGCCUCAAGGUACUUGUUGAAGGCAACCAUGGAUGGCGACGACAUCGGGUUUUAGGCGAAACAAAUUGCAAGUGAUGAUGGGAAAAUGGGCUGGUUGGGCUGAUGGAUUUUGUGCGGGCCGAAACAGGCCUGGUUAGGUUGAUCCAAGACAGUUGUUCAACAUAUUUAUCUUUUUAAUAAAUAAUUAGUUUAAGAUAUGAUCACAUAUAUUCCCUGAGCUAAAUUUUCGAAUGAAAUAAUUAAAAGAGAUUUUAGCAUUAAAAAUGGAAGUUGGACGGUUGUUGACCCGUUUGAUUAUUUGAUCCAUUUCUUUUAAAGCUAUUUUAUAUGAAUUUUACCUGUUAGAAAUACGACAUAAUCUCUAAUAAAAGUGGUAAAGGGGCACUUCUUUUUUUGGAUUUUAGGCAAGAAAUUGAGAGAAUAUGAUGAAUGAUAUGAAGUAAGAGGUCAAGGGUGCUGGUCUAAAGAAUUUAAAGACUAUAAUUUAGUUUAUAAUUCAGGAAGUCAAAGUUGCGUUGAAGUUUAUAAUUCGGUUUGGAUUUAAAGUUGAGGUGAGGUUAGAUUGAAAGUUGGUGUUAAAUCGGUUUUGGUUAAGGAUGGUGUCAAUGCUGCCAAAAAGAUUAGGUUUAAGACUGUUGCCUUGAAGACCAUUAAUUGGGCUUGGCGUGUUAUGGCUGCAACUAUAGAAAUGGAUAUGCAGAUUGAAGAUGAGGCUGCCACUUGCUGUUAUUUCUGUCUUUGUUUUGAGUAUUAUGUUUACGUUUUUCAUUAAAAUCAAGUUGUGAACCCAAUUGGCAUAUCUUUUUGUAUUGCUAUAUCGAAUGUUGGUGUCGUACCAUUACUGGAAUGAACCAAAACGAUACAGGCGUACUAUACAAAAAAUUACAAAGCGAUUGAUAAACUAACUAUGAACAACAACCGGGUUGUAAAUUGUCAUCGCCGCUGC
rnacentral:lncRNA from 1 species